GGCAGAGGGAGAAGCAGGCUCCAUGAAGGGAGCCCGACGUGGAACUCGAUCCCAGGACCCCAGGAUCACGCCCUGGGCUGAAAGCCACGCUAAACCGCUGGGCCCCCCAGGGAUCCCCAAUCCCAAUUGUACAAAUGUUAUAUGAACCUCUGAAGAUACGUAAUCUUGGGCACAACAACUGGGGGCUCAUCCGGGAUCCGAGACCUCCAGGAGCCCAUCCGGAGGAUUGCACGUGUGGUUAAGGUCGUGAUCUCCAGGGACAAACCACACGGCCACUCUGACCAGGUUCCCUGCAUCCUGAUCUGGCAGGACAUGAUUGAGAAUCCUCCUCCUGGGAUCCCUGGGUGGCGCCGCGGUUUGGCGCCUGCCUUUG